UGGCACCCCACUCCAGUACUCUUGCCUGGAAAAUCCCAUGGACUGAGGAGCCUGGUGGGCUGCAGUCCAUGGGGUCUCUAAGAGUCGGACACGACUGAGCAACUUCACUUUCACUUUUCACUUUCAUGCAUUGGAGAAGGAAAUGGCAACCCACUCCAGUGCUCUUGCCUGGAGAAUCCCAGGGACAGGGGAGCCUGGUAGGCUGCUGUCUAUGGGGUCGCACAGAGUCGGACACGACUGAAGCAACUUAGCAGCAGCAGUAGCAGCAAGCCUUCAAUUCAGCAAACUCCUUUGCCAUAAACACUUUACUCACAAAUGGGCUUCAAAUAGCAAUCCCUCCCAUGGCCUCAAGCUGCGGCCUGUGUGCUCACCCUGGAACACUUUUUUGUAAAAGUCCUUGAACAAAUGUCAGUGAUUAACUUUAUGAAUUAUUCUUUGAGCACAGCUGCAGAAGGCUUUAUGCGUUGUCAUGCUCCUCUCACAAACAAUAAGCACCUUAAUAUUCUCUUCAGUCAACUCAGCUGAGGAAAGGAAAAAACAAGUCAGAAUCACGAAGCCUGACUCCUUCAUUCUGGGUCCGUGCCUGCGGAACAGAGGGAGGGAGUUUAGGGCCGUGCCUCCAUUUUGUCAGUAAUGCCUAACGCGGCUCCCGACACUUCUUGGCUGUAUUUUUUUUUUGGUUGUGCUCCAUGGCAUGUGGGAUCUUAGUUCCCUGACCAGGGAUCGAACCCACACCCCUUGCAUUGGAAGAGCAGAGUCUUAACCACUGGACCACCAGAGAAGUCCCUGCAUUUUGUACAAUAGUUUGAAUAGUGAAUGUUGUAUUAUGUAUCUUUUACUUUUUUUUUUUUUUUAAAUUUUAAGAGGAAAACAAUAAUGGAAUCCUGUGAGCACACAACACACUUGACAUUUCUAAAGCUCCCAUGAAGACCGGAUCAAAAGAUAAGGCCUCUUUGGACUGGAAAUGAGCUGAGAAGUGGGGCGCCCCGCUCACACACGUGAGAGGAGCAUGGCAGUGAGCGUGCACUGACUUAUUCCCCGGGUCCCAAAUCCAAGAUCUCAGUUGCCGUUUGUGGGAUCUAGUUCCGUGAUCAGAGAACAAAUGUAGACCCACUGCACUGGGAGCCGGAGUCUUAGCCACUGGACCACGAGAGAAGUCCUGUGAAAUAACUUUUUAAAGCCUGGAAACAAUAAAUAUCGAAA
ensembl:lncRNA